UGGCUCAGUGGUUAAGAGCACUGGAUGCUCUUCCAGAGAACCUGAGUUCAAUUCCCAG
rnacentral:tRNA from 1 species